CUUUGCACACGCGGGAGCUCGGAGCACCGGGCUGAGAGGGCGCUGAUCUCCGUACAUCCGUACGGGACAAGCUGCGCCGACCGCCGAACCUGUUACCGGGUAAUGCCGGCGUAGGGAGUAGGUCUCAUGACCAC
rnacentral:ncRNA from 1 species